UUGAAACACCGGUUCCCGUACGAUCAAUGAAGUUAAGCAAUGUCGACCCUAAUCAGUAUCUAGAUGGGUGACCGCUUAAGAAUAUUAGGUGCUGU